rnacentral:snoRNA from 1 species
AUGUUAUGAUGAGAACUUCAAAAUUCAGUUCUGCUUCUGAAAUAGAAUGAAGAUACCCCAUACCAAAAAACACUCUGAACA